rnacentral:piRNA from 1 species
UGCUCUGGAUUAGGCUUUGGCUUUAGGG